GAUGAACGCUGGCGGCGUGCUUAACACAUGCAAGUCGAACGGAAAGGCCCAAGCUUGCUUGGGUACUCGAGUGGCGAACGGGUGAGUAACACGUGGGUGAUCUGCCCUGCACUUCGGGAUAAGCCUGGGAAACUGGGUCUAAUACCGGAUAGGACCUCAUUUUGGAUGGUGUGGUGGAAAGUUUUUCGGUGUGGGAUGAGCUCGCGGCCUAUCAGCUUGUUGGUGGGGUAGUGGCUUAACAAGGCGUCGACGGGUAGCCGGCCUGUGAGGGUGUACGGCCAAGUGGGGACUGAGAGACGGAGCAGAAUGGUAAGGGAGGCAGCAGGGGGGAGGAUGGGAGAAUGGGCGGAAGCGUGAGGCAGCAAAGAGGGGGGAGGGAUGAAGGCAGGCGGGGUGUAAACGGAGGGCGCAGGUGAAGAAGCGGGAGUGAAGGUAAUGGGUAAAGAAGAACCGGAUAAAUACGUG
rnacentral:rRNA from 1 species